rnacentral:tRNA from 1 species
GCCCGCGUGGCCUAAUGGAUAAGGCGUCUGCCUCCUAAGUAGAAGAUUGCGGGGUCCCGCCGUGCCGUGGGUG